rnacentral:rRNA from 1 species
GAUGUAAGUAAAAAGUCGUAACAAGGUAUCGGUAGGUGAACCUGCGGAAGGAUCAUUA